rnacentral:tRNA from 1 species
GCCGAAGUGGUGGAACUGGCAGACGCGUUGGACUCAAAAUCCAAUGAUGGCAACAUCGUGUGGGUUCGAGUCCCACCUUCGGCACCA